rnacentral:snRNA from 1 species
GUGCUCGCUUCGGCGGCACAUACACUAAAAUUGGAACGAUACAGAGGUUAGCAUCGCCCCUGCGCAAGGAUGACACGCAACUUCGCAAAGCGUCCCACGUUUUA